AACGAACGCUGGCGGCAGGCUUAACACAUGCAAGUCGAACGCGCCUUUCGGGGUGAGUGGCAGACGGGUGAGUAACGCGUGGGAAUCUACCCUUCUCUACGGGAUAGCUCCGGGAAACUGGAAUUAAUACCGUAUACGUCCUGAGGGAGAAAGAUUUAUCGGGGAAGGAUGAGCCCGCGUUGGAUUAGCUAGUUGGUGGGGUAAAGGCCUACCAAGGCGACGAUCCAUAGCUGGUCUAAGAGGAUGAUCAGCCACAUUGGGACUGAGACACGGCCCAAACUCCUACGGGAGGCAGCAGUGGGGAAUAUUGGACAAUGGGCGCAAGCCUGAUCCAGCCAUGCCGCGUGAGUGAUGAAGGCCCUAGGGUUGUAAAGCUCUUUCAGUGGGGACGAUAAUGACGGUACCCACAGAAGAAGCCCCGGCUAACUUCGUG
rnacentral:rRNA from 1 species